UUUUUUUUUUCCCCCCCAAGAUUAUACGCAGCUAAAUGCAGCACACUGUAAUGGGAGAUGUUUGGCUUCCUAAAUAACAAGUUGUCACACCAGUCUUAUCUAAAAAAUGCCAGAAAUUGUCAGAUAUGGGUAAAUAAUAUGGCACACAUGUAGCAUAUGUGUAUAUGAUCUUAAGCUUCUAUCUUCUCUGAUGUUACUUGUUGUCCUAGACUUUAAACUGCAGAAGGCGUAUGAACAGUAUCUGUUGAAAAGUCUGACAUCAGCCUUGGGGAUCUGUGAUAAUAUUAAUAUUGGAGAAGCAUGAUGAAACUGUAAAUCAUUUUGGACAUCCAUUGAAAUGCAUUCCUGACUCAUUAUUUUGAAGUUUAGGAUUAGAAGUUGUUAGUAACUAUUUACUGUGUACUUUAAUCCAUUUCGUUUUCCUUUUUCUCUCUAUUUAAGGCCAAAUGGUAAUUGAUUUAAGAUUUUGCUCCUUAAGCCUUAAUAACUAUUCCAGCAGCCAGGAUUCCAAUUUUAUACUGACAGAGGAGAUUGUCCAUAAAACGUAUCUUUCCCUAGGCUUUCUUUAUAGCUAAUUGAACGGCUCCUGUUUCAGAGCUGGACCCUAAUUAAAUUGCUCAUUUUUUUUGCUUGGAGAACUUUCUUCUCUCUUUUGAUUUUCAAAAGAAUCCACAGAGAUCUUUCUCACAAAGCUUUAAAAUUCAUCUGCUACAAAAGUCACUCUUCCCCUAUUUGAUGUUGAUUGAAUUCUGUGCAAUGUUAUAGUGAUUGUCUUGAGUAUAUCAGAGAUUUUUUAAAAUGGAAAGUUAAAGCUGGCAAUGAGUUUUUCACCUCAAGUGGAUUGACUUAAUUAUUGAUCUACUACAGUGAUGAGUUUACUGAAUGUUUACAGCAUUGUCAUUCCCUAAGAGCAUGCAUAAUGAGCAAAAUAAGCUUUUAUAUCCUGAUAAUUCCAUGGUAAUCAGUACUAUUAGUCACUAAACAAAGUAUCCCUAAAUCUUUGCAGGCUUGAUGUUCUAAUAUGACUGUGCUAUCACACUUUCUAAGGACAAGGGCACAGCCUUUGAAACAUAUUGAAUCAAUUGCUGAACUUAAAUACUUAUCAAUAUUUUUAUUUCUCUGUUUUUUGACAUAGAUCAUUCCGAAAGUAACGUCUGCUAUUUAUUUCUAUGGAAACUAUAACAGAUACAAAGUGCACAGGAGCACUAUUUGAUAAAGCAAAUUCUCAGAUACUAAACACUAUUUUUCAAGAUAGUCACCUCCAUUAGCUGUUCAGUUUUGUGAGAGAUGAACAAGAGCCUGCAUGCUGUACUUCUAACUAUCUACACCAGCGGAGGUGACCCACUGUCGCUGUCACUACUGCUAGAAUGCACCACCUAUUGCCUCACUGUGCUCACAUCCAGUGUUUGGUCUCCAGAAGUGUUCAGUAAGUGUUGAUGAAUGUCAGUGGAGGAAUUCAAUUCCACCCCUUUUCAGGCACCAACUUGGCAGAGUGCCCUUCUGCUGCCAUUUGUCACAUGGCAACAAAAUUUAACAUAAUGUUGGUGGGAAGGUUCAACCUCUACUAUCACACCACCAGCAUCUGCCUCUGAUGUGGAAGACCAACAUAAUAAAAUAGGGAGCGUUACUUUUGGAGCAUCACUCAUAUGAAAAAUGUUGCACUAAGAAAGCUGGCAUCUCAGCAUCUAUUGUUUGCCUUUUAAUUUUUGAAUCCAAGGACAUUCCUAUCCAGCAUAUUAGCUAUAACAAGGCAAAAAUGUCCAUGCAAAGCCCAAGAAAUAACAUAUCUUUACUGAAGAACUGUUCAGUCAUAAGCAGAAAGCUUUGUUUUACAUAAAAAGAAUAAAAGCAAUAUUUGCAGCUGAUUUUCUCAGUAGGUUCUUUGUAUUAUAUGAAACAUCUUAUGCACAGUCAGAAAUUUGUUGUUAUUUAUUUAUGACUUUUAUUUGCCGUCUGUCUGUUCAGUCUUAUUUGACUUCUUCAUAUAUUUGUUUUUGCUAAAACAAAUUAUUAUGGGAUUAUUUUUAAAUUUCUUUUGAUCCUGGCUUGCCAAGGUCUUUUCUCGUUUGAUCAUGAAGAAAAGUGUGAGACAAUUUAUUUGCGAAAUCCUUUUAAAUAAAGAUAAAACAUACAUAUCCAAAAUACUUCUCCCAAUAUGGAAAGCACAGAGGGAGUGCAUCACCUCUUUCAAAGUUAACUUUGUACAUAUUCAAGGCACAUAAAUAGGAAAAAAAUAUCCCUAGUAAGCAAAAAAUUAUCUUUGAACUCUUGUCUAAAAGACCUUGAGAGUGAUAUAAAAUAUUUUAGAGUAGUAAUGUGAUGUGGUUAGGUUGCAUAUAUAGUGUUGUGUAAACAAGUUUAAUUAAACAUUUGACUUAUUUGCACUAUAGCAGAAAAUUAUUUUUUCUGCUAUCAGUUCUGAUUUACAAAAGAUUUGAUUUUGUACUUGUAUCCAAGCAAAUUUAAAAUAUAUAUUAUUUGCCUUAAGUAUCUUAGAAAAGAGCCCAAAUGUUUCCUAGAAAAAUUAAAUGAUAAAUCAGUAAAUAAAAGUAAGGAAAAGGACUACUUUUGUAAAGUCAGUGUUAAUAUUUAAAUACAUAAAAUUAUUAUUUUUUUACUCAUUUGAUUGGGAUUCCAACCAAUGGUCAAAGAGAGAGAAAUGAAGAUAGAAAAAGUCUCUGAUUUUAUGAUCUCCUGAAGUUCAAAAUUAAGAGUUAAGAAAACCUCUCCUUCUGUGUACAAUACCUUUGCCAUAUUUUUCUACAGGUAUAUAGCUGCUUUCCCAAGUUUUACCUUUUUGUUUGAAACUGUCUCCUGUGCCAUGCAGAUUUGUGGCCAAACUGAAGUUUGAUCUUCUCAGGCCUGGGGUUUUCUGUUUGUUGUGCUCAUUUUUCUCAGGAAUUUCAGUGCUAUGAUAUCCAGUUCACUGCAGCCAAGGCUGCCCUUGACCUUCAUACCAGUUCCUACUUCAGUGUCAGUAAAAGGUCCAUUAGAGCAUUUACCUAGUCAGUUUGUUGAUCCCCUGUACCAGAAAAUUGCCAACAGUCCAGAAACCUGCUGGAUUGCUUUCACCCAGAUGUAUCGAAGUGAUUCAAAACCCCUCAAGUGCCAGGUGGUUUCAUCCUGACAGGCAGCUGGACUCCACCACACUAUUUGCUCACUCUCUCUCAAAAGAAAAGAGAAUAUAAUGUGAAAAAGGGCUCAAGGAGUGAUAUAAGCAUGGGGAGAUCACUCACCAAUUAACUGCCAUGAGUGAAAGAGAGUUUGGAUAGGGAGGUUAAUAUAAUUUAUUGUUUAUUACUAACAGACCAGAGCAGAGAGAACCAAGAGCAAACUAAAGCCACCUUCCACCCACCCAUCUCUUAUACUUCAUCCCCUGAGGCUGUAUAGGAGAAUGGGAGGCUGCAGUCAGUCCAUAAUGAUUCAUCUUUGAUGCUCCUUCAUGGUCACUCUUUGCACCUGCUCCAUGUGGGGCCCUUCCCAUGGAUGCCAUCCUUCUCCAGCUGACUUGUUAAUGACUCUUUUCAGGGCACAGCUCUGUGUAUUUGAACCACUCUUUUACACGGAGCUCAACUGUUCCUCUUUGCGUUUUCGGUCAGACUUUCCUGAAAAGUGUGGGUGAAUGAAAAAAAUCUGUGUGGAAAGCCAUCAUAAUGCUUGAGUCACAUGAGCCAUCCCACCACAUUUUUGUAUCCCAGUGAGAUCACUUCUCUGCAGAUAUACAGGAACUUCUAAUUCUGCUUGAUCACGUUCUACACUGCAUCCAUCUGUGCGCAGGCACUUGAUACAAGCUACCACUCACUCUGCAUUUAGUGGUGAAGUGCAAGAACCUCUGCCACUGUGUUUUCUUGUGGAUACAUCCUUACUUUCCCCCAGCCUUCAUGUCCUCUUCAGGUUACAUUAACCCUAGUUAUGUAUGUAGCUAUGGACCAGAAAGGGAAAAUGUUUUUUAGAUGAAAGCAAUAAAGAGAAAAUUAAAAUAACACAUUCUUUCUCCCAUGUGGUAAAGCAAGCAUAUCGGCCUUGAUGCAGUGACACUUACAUAAGCAGACAUAUGCCUGCAAAGAGAUUAAUUCUAUUGUACAGAAUGUUUAAAGAUACUUAAAACAUUGGAAAUCCAUAGUAGGAAAUGGAAUUUCUGUUUCAGAGAUGAAACUGUAAACUGUGCUAUCACUGUUCUUCUUGCCACACACAAAGUUGCAUUUAUCCUUGGAACAUUCCAAAGUUGUGAAUGAGAUGAUCGAUGAUGAGCAAUUUAUCCUUUUCAAAGCACUAAAUUAUGAAAACAUAUACAGUUCAGGAUUAAACUCCUAGAUUGUGAAAAGUACUUGGAACAGCUCUUGAUUUUGUCAAGACACUACAAAUGCUAUUUCAGUUCAGUUUGUGACUUGUCUUCUGGCACGUUGUUAUUAUAUGGCAGUCUUUGAAAGCUAUUAUCGCAUUUGUAUUUGCCCAGGAGAACUAGAGUUACUUUACUCUUAGAGUAGAAUCCAGGAAAGGGUAUGCACAUAGUUUAAGCACCCAAGCACUCAAAUCACAUGUCGUAUAUCAAAGCAGACUCCAAAUGAUCAGGCAGGUUUUUUGUUUGAUUGUUUUUUUGCUUCUGAAAAUAUGAUUUGUUUUCAUUCUGUUAACACUUGUAGGUACCUUGUUGAGUUGUCUGUGCAUUUGAUGUUACUCCAUGUAACCUUCUUUCUUAUUUACAUCAAUAGAAAAAAGGCUUUUUUGUUUGACAGACUUUAGUUUGAAAUGCUAGACCAGUUCUCACUUAUCUUGCUCCAUCCAGAUCAACGAAUCAGACAAAGAACUCAUCCAUCACAAUUCUGAAGCCAGAUUCCUGUUUGGUAUGAAACCAUUAAGUUGCAGAAAAAAAACAUGACCUAAGGACCUCAGCUUUCCCUUCCAUAAAGUCAGAAAAGCCUUCUCCAAGCACCUGUCCCAGUUGCUCUCAUAGGAAUAGCAGAGCAUGGAAAAGAUCAGCUCUGACAGAUUUUUGGCUGCCAUGAUAUUUGGCAGAAGCUAGAAUGAAUCACUUAAUCUCUUAUCAAGAGAAAUUAGGUUAGUUUAGGAAAAUGAGAGCAGAAAACAGAAAAGCAUAUCUAUCUUCAGCUGAACAAAGUACAAAUUCAGAUUAUCCUUUCCCUUUUUUUCUCAGCAUUGGAAAAAAAUUAUCUUUUUAAAAAAUUUCAUUUCUAAAUUUUUCCAGUAUAAAGAGGAAUUAUCUUCCACGAACUUUUUGCACACAGCAAUGAACACCAUGGGAGAAAAUGCAUUGUGAACAGGGAUAAGUGCUCUAAUGAAUCUCCUUUUUCUGUUUCAUCUCUUCAAACCUCUCAAUGCUUUCACCUCCUCCACCAGAUACUGUUUUCUGCAUCAAGAGAGAGAAUCACAACCACCGUGGGGGAAAAACAGCAGUUAAGGCUCUUCAAUGAACAAAACUGCAGGCUUAGUCCCAAAUGCGGGACACAAUUGGAAAUAUAUGUUUGGAAUGGAAUAUAGUUUAGCCAUUUUUUAGUCCUUGGAAAAAACAACCCUGAGCUAUUUCUUAACGCCACCAAUGUUUCCACUGUUUUGUUUUAGCACUAUUUAAGUAAGUACUUUAAUAAACUUAUGGUGUCUUUCCAAAAGAAUCUA